rnacentral:lncRNA from 1 species
GUUUCUUCCUGUUCAAUUUUUUGAAAGAGUUUGAGAAGACUUGGCAUUAAUUCUUCAUUAAGUGUUUGGUAAAAUUCACUAUGAAGCCAUCUGCUCCUGGGAUUGUCCUUGUUGGGACGUUUUGAUUCCUGAUCCACUCUUCUUAUUUGUUAUUGGUCUAUUCAAGUUUCUAUUUCUUCAUGAUUCAAUCUUGGCAAGAAGCAGACCGAGAAGACUUGUCAGCUGCAAACAAGAAAAGGGAAGAUCACACAGAAGAGGGCACAGGGGCCCGGAGAGCAGAAGGAUUCGUAGCAAAUAAUUUCAAAGGAGAAAUACUGGACCCUAAUCAAGGAAAUGAUGAUAUUUACCUGGUGGAUUUUAUAAUUGCUAUACCAAUUACUGUGUGCCUACCCCUUUCUCUUCACUGAAUGAUAGCGUUUGCUGCCGUUAUGCUAUCCUUGGCUUACCAUUGCACGUGAGGUGUGUGUUGCAAGAAAGGACGUCUCUUUAGCUCAUGGGUCUUUAGAACGAGAGGAACCAUACCUAGAAGCUGGACUUGAGGAAUUUCAUUAAAAAAAGGAACACAGAUCAGAUACAAGAACCUGGACCUUGAACCUAAGUCUGACACCAUAAAAGAUAAAAUGUUAGGAGACGUUGCCAUAGAGCACUGCAUGAGAACUUUAUGGGCUCCAUAUUCUUGCCAACAUUUGGCGUUGCUAUUCACUUUAGUUUUUGCUGUUCUAGUGGAGCUAAACAUUAAGCCUUCUUUUUUUCUUUUUUCUUUUGAGGAAGAUUAGCC